AUGUAUGCCGGUUCCAACCCCGCCUCAGAGAUUAGGAACUCUGACUUGCUCUGCAGCAUACCACCUAAACGUCGCCUUCAGGUAAUCCACUUUGGCGGCGAUCUUCCCCUCGCUGAGGCGUCCAACAGCGUUCAAUGCGUGUCUGAACAUCCUACAGCCACGAGGCACACCUAUACCUUCGGCAAGUGCCACCACUUCCUGGACGCGCUCCAAGUUGGAGGCGAGCAGCCAUGGCUGGGCGACGCUCAACUUGGCAAUGUUGGAGUCACCUAG
rnacentral:rRNA from 1 species